rnacentral:lncRNA from 1 species
AAAGAGAAAGAUUUUGCGGGCAUUCUAUGUAAGUGACAGAGAUAGAGCUAUAUUGCACUUUUAAUACACGUUUAAAUGAGACUAUUCGUGCCUGGCUCGACAA